rnacentral:rRNA from 1 species
UACGUAGGUGGCAAGCGUUGUCCGGAUUUAUUGGGCGUAAAGCGCUCGCAGGUGGUUCGUUGCGUCGUGCGUGAAAGACCCCGGCUCAACUGGGGGGUGUCGUGCGAUACGGGCGGACUGGAGGCCAGUAGGGGGAUGCGGAAUUCCAGGUGUAGCGGUGAAAUGCGUAGAUAUCUGGAGGAAUACCGGUGGCGAAGGCGGCAUCCUGGACCGACAUUGACGCUGAACGGCGAAAGCUAGGGGAGCAAACGGG